AUGUUCGUGUGGGUGCUGGGCAGCGGCGGGUGCGCGGCCGGGUCGGUGCGCGUGCCGCUCGACGGCGGCGGGGACGAUACGAAUCUACUCCGCCUCCAGACAUCACUCCCUCCGCUCCUGCGGUUCGUGCCUCUUCCUCUAGCAAGAUCGGCGGUGGCUACACCUCCUGAGGAUGUCCUUGCGCUCUUCCUGUCCCAUAUAGGAAGAGGCGACCAGUUUCUUCAAUGUAUUGUAGACCCGUUAUUGAUAGGAAAUAAUAACAAAAGGGAAGUAUAUGUCGCUAGGCUUACUAAUCAUUUGCCACUCUUUUCUUCCGCUUUCCAAAUUCUUUUCCCUAGGAACGAGAUGUUAUGA
rnacentral:rRNA from 1 species